rnacentral:rRNA from 1 species
AUUGAACGCUGGCGGCAGGCCUAACACAUGCAAGUCGAGCGGAUGAAGGGAGCUUGCUCCUGGAUUCAGCGGCGGACGGGUGAGUAAUGCCUAGGAAUCUGCCUGGUAGUGGGGGAUAACGUCCGGAAACGGGCGCUAAUACCGCAUACGUCCUGAGGGUGAAAGUGGGGGAUCUUCGGACCUCACGCUAUCAGAUGAGCCUAGGUCGGAUUAGCUAGUUGGUGGGGUAAAGGCCUACCAAGGCGACGAUCCGUAACUGGUCUGAGAGGAUGAUCAGUCACACUAGAACUGAGACACAGUCCAGACUCCUACGGGAGGCAGCAGUGGGGAAUAUUAGACAAUGGGCGAAAGCCUGAUCCAGCCAUGCCGCGUGUGUGAAGAAGGUCUUCGGAUUGUAAAGCUCUUUAAGUUGGGAGGAAGGGCAGUAAGUUCAUACCUUGCUGUUUUGACGUUACCAACAGAAUAAGCACCGGCUAACUUCGUG